UGAAAAGCAGCAAGACUAGAGCCACUGAAAGCUUUCCUGCACUUUGGAUGUGUACAGACUGACUCUUCGGUGCUUGCAGCACUAUGCAUCAUUUUGGAAGUGUGAAACACAGCUUGUUGUAACCUGGACUGCAGAUGUGAGCCAAGCCAUGGGAACUUGUUGGCAUUGUGCCUUCCAAUUCAAAGUUGAAUUGAAGCCAUUGUAUAUCUUGGAGAUAAAGCCAAAGACCUUGAAGCAGAUUUUGAUAACCAGAUAGAAGACAGUGAGAGGUGAUGCCACAACACACUUGGAGGUGGAGACAUGGAACUCUUGCAGCAAGAGAGGGAUGAACAGAUUGUGCACAUCUGUAGGAAACCAUAUUUCAGCAUUUCUGCUGUCCAAGGAACAUCUGACAUCUGUUUGGAGGGAAAUUAGGCCCUAGUCAUCCUCUGCGUAAGAUGCGUUUCUGGAGGAGAUGAAUCUGAUGCUAUUUCUUCAUAUGGGCUGCAAGAAGGAAACAUCUUCCUAGGAAGCUGUCAGCAGCCUUUUUGAGGUCAUCCUGUCACACCAGUCUGAUACAUGCACGUAUUGCUUGAUUCAGUGAUCUCUUAUCUCUCUGGUCUCCUGUAAAAA